UUUCCUUCGGGACAGAGGAGACAGGUGGUGCAUGGUUGUCGUCAGCUCGUGUCGUGAGAUGUUGGGUUAAGUCCCGCAACGAGCGCAACCCUUGAUCUUAGUUGCCAGCACGUCAUGGUGGGCACUCUAAGGUGACUGCCGGUGACAAACCGGAGGAAGGUGGGGAUGACGUCAAAUCAUCAUGCCCCUUAUGACCUGGGCUACACACGUACUACAAUGGCUGGUACAACGGGAAGCGAAG
rnacentral:rRNA from 1 species